rnacentral:tRNA from 1 species
UUUCUGGUGGUCCAGUGGUUAGGACUCUGUACUGUCAAUGCAGGUGACAUGGGUUCAAUCCCUGGUUGGGGAA